rnacentral:lncRNA from 1 species
CGACUCUGGAGCUUUUUCUGCUGUCAAGAUUUGCUCCGAUGGGAUAUGGGUAUAACUGUCCCUCCGACCUGAGACCGCCAUGGUGACUUGCAAGCAACUCACUGCACUUAGGCACUGGACUACCUGAAUUUCUAAUUCAGUGACAGAAGGCUACUGGGUGUAGUCAAGUACUUGACUUGUCGGUGCGUGUGUCAAGAUGGGAUUGACCACUCCCG